GACGUAGGGGGCCAGCGUUGUUCGGAAUUACUGGGUGUAAAGGGUUCGUAGGCGGUGCGGCAAGUCGGGAGUGAAAUCUCUGGGCUCAACCCAGAGGCUGCUUCCGAAACUGCUGUGCUUGAGUGUGGGAGAGGCGCGUGGAAUUGCAGGUGUAGCGGUGAAAUACGUAGAUAUCUGCAGGAACACCCGUGGCGAAAGCGGCGCGCUGGACCACUACUGACGCUGAAGAACGAAAGCUAGGGGAGCAAACGGG
rnacentral:rRNA from 1 species